rnacentral:rRNA from 1 species
AACGAACGCUGGCGGCAGGCUUAACACAUGCUAGUCGAACGCCCCGCAAGGGGAGUGGCAGACGGGUGAGUAACGCGUGGGAAUCUACCCAUCUCUGCGGAAUAGCUCUGGGAAACUGGAAUUAAUACCGCAUACGCCCUACGGGGGAAAGAUUUAUCGGGGAUGGAUGAGCCCGCGUUGGAUUAGCUAGUUGGUGGGGUAAAGGCCUACCAAGGCGACGAUCCAUAGCUGGUCUGAGAGGAUGAUCAGCCACAUUGGGACUGAGACACGGCCCAAACUCCUACGGGGGGCAGCAGUGGGGAAUAUUGGACAAUGGGCGCAAGCCUGAUCCAGCCAUGCCGCGUGAGUGAUGAAGGCCUUAGGGUUGUAAAGCUCUUUCACCGAUGAAGAUAUGACGGUAGUCGGAGAAGAAGCCCCGGCUAACUUCGUGCCAGCCGCCGCCGUAA